rnacentral:sRNA from 1 species
CUUUGCGAUAUUUAUCCUGGUCUGCAUUGAGUCUGUGUUUAAGAAGCUGCUGCGCCUCUUCUCGUUGGUGAUAUGGAUAUGCCUUGUUGCCAUGGGAUACCUGUUCAUGUGUUUUGGAGGCACUGUCUCUCCCUGGGACCAGGUAUCGUUCUUCCUCUUCAUCAUCUUCGUGGUGUACACCAUGCUACCCUUCAACAUGCGAGACGCCAUCAUUGCCAGUGUCCUCACCUCCUCCUCCCACACCAUCGUGCUUAGCGUCUGCCUGUCUGCAACACCGGGAGGCAAGGAGCACCUGGUCUGGCAGCCCCUGGAAACCACCCUUCUACUCACAAGAACAAUCUAGCCUUGCCUGGGAUGAAGUGCAAGAAACACUCCUGUGGAUACAAUCUCUACCCCAGCCUUCACUUCCUGUUUCUGCACUUCAGAGCCUCUCCUGAGGGUAUCUGUGGGGCAUUUCUCCUUUCUCCUAUAAAUUCCACUCUUCCGUCUUCUCAUUUAUUUGAGCUGUUAAGCUCAACAUUAGGCGUUCACAUAUGGGUCAGGGUGGUGGGCAUGUUUUUGCAGUAGAAAUGAGAAAACAG